UACGGGAGGAGCAAGCGUUGUUCGGAAUCACUGGGCGUAAAGGGAGUCUAGGCGGUUUGGUAAGUGGGAUGUGAAAUCCCCGGGCUCACCCCGGGACCUGCAUCCCAAACUGCUGAGCUUGAGUACAGGAGAGGGUGGGGGAAUUCCAGGUGUAGCGGUGAAAUGCGUAGAUAUCUGGAGGAACACCGGUGGCGAAGGCGCCCACCUGGCCUGCUACUGACGCUGAAGCUCGAAAGCUAGGGGAGCAAACGGG
rnacentral:rRNA from 1 species